UACGGCGAAAGGGAGUGGCACCUGGUCACUGGCUGCGAGAGCAAGAGAGGGAGACGAGUGAGAGAGGCACACGGUGAGGGAAAAGUGAGGUAGAUACCGAGAGAACAGAGACACCGACCAGAAAUGGCGUGAGCUUAUUGGGGAAACAGAGGCAGCGUGCGGCAGACAGAGGUGAUGAGACGUCCUCCCUGGCAGUUUCUGAGGGGGCACAGCGCGGAGGAGCUUUCGGUGGAGGGUGUUUUCAGCGGCUCAAGGUGGCUGGAAAAAUGCUCUGUUUUUGUAUACCAAAACAGAGCAGUCCGAUGCUUGCUAUAGAGGCUACGGGAGGCUAGGCGACAGCUUCGUGUGACUGGGCAGUGGGCAUGGUGGUUUGGUGUGGGUUG